UAUACUUUAAUCAGUUUAUAGUAUAUUUAUAUACAACUGAUUCUUUACAGACUAAUUACCUGCUUUUAGUAAAAUACUUUCUACGUUGUGAUAUAGGUUUGAGUUUGAAUUUCAAACAUACAUCGCUGUUUUGUAGAUAGUAUUGUUUAUUAUAGAUAAGACAGUAAACAUACUGGCAAGUGAGUUGUUAUCAGCCUGUAGCUGCCGUAUAAUUUCUCCGAUGCACGAUUGGUGAACUCCACUUCUAGACGUGAUCACUACCUCUCCAGACAACCGUAGACAGCAAGUAAAUCGACCUAUGGAUUACAACGAUGCUAGUAUUACUACAUACUACGACGAUCUAUGACUUUCAACGAAAACAGAACUGUUGCUUCUUCUUUCAAACAAGAUUCUGGUGAGGUGAUUGUUGCUGUAGCCUGUUGUCUGUUAUUACAUUUGCUGCUCACUGGCGUGGCCCUUUGAAGUCCUACAGCUGAAUAAGAUCUUCUUUGAUCAGAGAGGUGAACAUCAAUUGUCUUAUAACUUGUUGGGAGAGUCAAGCGUAGAGUUUUCUGCAGCCCUGAACAUUCACAAGUGACAUUCAGAUGAAGAUUGUAAUACCACUGACGGCACAUUUCUAAGAUAUUUGUUGACAUGAUCGAACCUGAAGAACAUUUCUAUAAAUAUAUUACAUUUUACAAGAAAUAGUGAUACUUCAUUAAACAAAGUAAAUAAAAUAGUAGAAUU